rnacentral:rRNA from 1 species
GAACGCUAGCGGCAGGCUUAACACAUGCAAGUCGAGGGGUAUAGUAGCAAUACUAGAGACCGGCGCACGGGUGCGUAACGCGUAUGCAAUCUACCUUUUACAGCGGGAUAGCCCAGAGAAAUUUGGAUUAAUACCUCAUAGUAUAGUGACUCGGCAUCGAGAUACUAUUAAAGUCACAACGGUAAAAGAUGAGCAUGCGUCCCAUUAGCUAGUUGGUAAGGUAACGGCUUACCAAGGCGACGAUGGGUAGGGGUCCUGAGAGGGAGAUCCCCCACACUGGUACUGAGACACGGACCAGACUCCUACGGGAGGCAGCAGUGAGGAAUAUUGGACAAUGGGCGCAAGCCUGAUCCAGCCAUGCCGCGUGCAGGAAGACGGUCCUAUGGAUUGUAAACUGCUUUUAUACGGGAAGAAACACCGGUUCGUGAACCGGCUUGACGGUACCGUAAGAAUAAGGAUCGGCUAACUCCGUGCCAGCAGCCGCGGUAAUACGGAGGAUCCAAGCGUUAUCCGGAAUCAUUGGGUUUAAAGGGUCCGUAGGCGGUCAGAUAAGUCAGUGGUGAAAUCCCAUCGCUCAACGGUGGAACGGCCAUUGAUACUGUCUGACUUGAAUUAUUAGGAAGUAACUAGAAUAUGUAGUGUAGCGGUGAAAUGCUUAGAGAUUACAUGGAAUACCAAUUGCGAAGGCAGGUUACUACUAAUGGAUUGACGCUGAUGGACGAAAGCGUGGGUAGCGAACAGGAUUAGAUACCCCUGGUAGUCCACGCCGUAAACGAAUGGAUACUAGCUGUUGGG